UUAGCUAAUCCGGGUUGCCACUGUGUAAGAAUACCAGAAUGUUAUUUAACUUGUACAGACUUACUUUCCUUUCAUCUCGGACAUUGAAACAAGGAGUCCUAAAAUGAUAGCUCUGUGUGUUUGGAGGUUUUCAUCUGUCUGACUGUCUUUCCCAAUUUUUUCUCUGACUUUUGGGGCCCAGUACUUGAUAUUAGCCUUCCAUCCCCAGGGUCUCAGUAUUAGGCCUGGAGCUGAGAAUUAUAGUGAGUGUGAGACUCUGAUGCAUACAUAGUUCCUGUCUAGCCUUCUGUCUUACGCCCACACACCCUGACUGAGCUCUUUCUUUCUCUUAUUUGCUGCUGUCUACAGCCUUUUCAAGUCCAGGGAGGGGCAUGAUCUGCCAGAUCGAACAGGUUUUGUUUAGGGUACUAACACAGGUUUUAAGAUUUCUUUCUUAGUUAGACAUAGCUCAGAAGGGAAGCCAGCAUAAAGGGAAGCUGGGCAAGCCAUAAAAUAAUAAUUGGAACAGUGAUGACGCCAUUCAGAUUCCCCAGCUGCUGGUAUCUCUUCAUUCUCUCAAAGACAUGAGUAAAUUGUGUUCCUUUACUGAAACACUUGGGUAGAGUAUUUGAACAAAGGAAAUGGGGUCAUUUCAAAAUGUCCAGUAUGCGGUAAUCAAUGCCACUCAGCCUGUGGUGUAAUUAAUGGAAACACUGGCGACAGUCUGCCCAUUGUUUGUCCUUGCACAACAGGAAGUGGCAGGGCACUAGAGAGCCCAAGGAGGUUUACGUAAUGCAGAAGGAAGUGGCUAGAGCUCUGCUCAGCCUGGCUUUCUAACUCCAGCCUGUGGCUCACCUGAGCGCCUUCCUCGUCCUAGCACACAGAGACCAUGCAUUUUGUUGAGAUCACCCUUUGAGUUUUGACCUUAUUUAACAAUAGAUUUUUGUAAAUGUUGUCCCGAGAAACUUACUUUUAGAUCUUAUACAAUUAUAUUUUGUGGCUAGGCAGAACAAAUUAUGGAAAAGAAAAUAUGGUCAGCAGGCUUAACUGUGGACCUGCCUGGGACAGUGCUGUGGUGGCUCUUGGAGUCGGGAGAUCUGGACUUGGGUGUUGGCUGUCCAUGUCAGCUGGGUGACGUGAGGUGAACUGCCUAUGACUCUGGAGCAGCCUUCCUCUAUUAGAGGACAUCUUGCAGGGCUCUCGGCUUUCCCUGCUUUGUGUGAGGUCCAGGUGGUGCCUGUCGGGUGAGGUGUGCAAAGAGAUGCCAGCCCCGCAGUAGCCACUCAGAAUGUCCAUUUUAGAUCUGGUAAUGCAUUACUUACUUUUUUUUUUUUUUUUUGGAAAAAGUAAAUGCUGGUGUUUAUGGUAGAAAUCAAGUGUUUUCUUACUGGAAAACACUAAAAAUUGGUAUAUAGAUUCCUUCAUUGGGGUUUUGAAAACCAUUUGCUUGCUCUGACAUUUGAAUGAAUGGAUUCUAUAAAGAAGAGGAGCAAAAGUUAAGUGGACGCGGCUGCCUUCGAGCUGCCUUACUGGGACAGGUUGGGUGACCUUGGGCGCAUUUUUGUCUUUUCAGAAUCCACUUCCCAUGUUUAGCAGGAAAAUGAUACUUCCCUUGAGGAGUGUCAUGGGACCUAAAGGUAAGGCGUGUAGAAUGUACAGUCGUGUCUGCCAUUUCCCGGAUACUCAGGAGACAGUAGCUGUAACUUGCAAAUUAUCUGUCACACUUGUUAAUAUAAUGAGCGAACCAGAGAAUAUUGUUUACUAGGCUCCAUCUUCCAGGUCACUCUGUGGAUGGCCAAAAGCGCCGGUCCCAACACUGUGUUUGCGUUUUCUGUAAAUCAGCUUAGCUGCGACUUGCUGGAGUGAAGUUUUGUUCUUUAAUUUCCAGAGUUAGAGUCUAUGCGUGAGAAUAAAAGGCUGGACCUUAUUCUGAAAGCUGUUCUUGCAGCCUAUUUAGAAUGAUGGUCUUCAGGACUUUCCUUGGGGAAACAAGGUCACUCCAGAAUAGCAGUAUGUGGUAACACACAGCAUUCAGCCUGUAGUAUAAUUAAUGAGAACAUCUAUCCACUGUCAUUGUGCAAGAGAGAGUCAUUCAGAAAAGAGAACGCUGAGUCUUCCGUGGGAAUGGAAGGGGUGAUCUAAAGGUAGACCAGAAGGCCGGAGAAAACUUAGGUGACCCAGAAAACUUGUGAGUUGAGCAUGGCCCACUCCAGGCUUUCGGUGGUCUGAAUCCCCAUUAGACAUGAAGCGGCAGUGUGACGUGAAUAAAGAGGGGUUGAUGGGCCAUAAUGGGUUGGCGUUGCAUGACAGCGGGGCCACCUGUAGGAAACCUAAUGACCAGGGUGGGUGUAGGAUGGAGACCUUGACGGUGCCUCCAGUCAGGAGCGGAAGAGAAAUAGCCUGACUGCAAAUAUCCUUUCGCUGUAUAUACAUACAUCAAACUGUCCUCCAUAAGGAUUCUUUUUUUUUUUUUUGGUUUUUGAGACAGGGUUUCUCUGUAUAGCCUUGGCUGUCCUGGAACUCACUCUGCAGACCAGGCUGGCCUCGAACUCAGAAAUCUGCCUGCCUCUGCCUCCCGAGUGCUGGGAUUAAAGGUGUGCACCACCAUGCCUGGCAGCUCCAUAAGGAUUCUUAUUUUUUAUUAAAAAAUAAAAGAAGACUGUGGCCAGUACCAGCCAAUGUCAGAACAAGAAAGAAGGGGCUCUGAGAGAGAGGGGUGCUCUGCGUUCUUCAUUGUCCCUUGUCACAAGAAAGCAUGGGGCUGAGCACCCAGCUUCUCUCUUGCUAGUUGCUCUGUGGCCUGCGCUCUCAGUUUCCUUGGGUUUGUAAUGUUUUACUUGGCCACAGUGAUUUGUUUGAGGGCCACUGGGCAGUGUUUAGUUCAGGAUUGCCAAGUGGGUUUCAUCAUCCUGAACUCUAAUCCUUUGCAGUUGGCCACCUGGGGUCCAGUGUCAGGACAGGCUCCCAUUCCAGGUCAGAUUUAGAACAGCCUGUGCUUAGUGCUAUUACAGGUGUGGAAGGAAGUUCGGGUAUUGGGCUUGUUUAUUUGUUAAGACUAAGAUCUGGGUCUCAUAGCUUACCCAUUUCACAGUCUACAGUUCAGUGGUCUCUAGUAAGUCAAGGGUUGUGUAACUAACACAACCAGUUCUACACUUGCCCUAUCCUAGAAACAUGUACACAUUGUCACUCCCCGUUCCCUACCACGUGAUAGGCUCAGGUCUACUGUCUGUCUCUAUACAGUGCCCUUGUGGGGCCUUACUUGUGAAAGCAGUCUUAUGAUAUGUAACCAUUUGUGUCAUGCUUCCUUCACUGAGUGUAACACUGCUGAGGUUUUUCCAAACACUGCUGAGUUUCUGUCAACAUUUCAUUUGAUUUGAUGGCCAAAUGAUAUUCUGGCCUAUGGGCAUACCACAUUUUGCUGUCCCUUCACACUGAUGGACAUGUGGGUUAUUUCUGUGUGUGCCUACUAUGAAGAAUGGUGUUGUGAACACUGAUGUAUAAGGUUGUGCAUAUUUUGGUUUCCUCGUGUAUUUUCCUGGGUGUUAAACUGCUGGUCAGCGAUAACCCUCUGCUUAACUUUGUGAGAAAUUGUCAGAUGGGUCACUGAAGUGGCCAUACCACUUUGCAGGAGGGGCGAGGGUUGCUGGGUUCUCCACACCAUCACCGGCCCUUGCUGGUCUCUCUUUUGAGUUAGGCCUCCUAGUGGAUGAGAAGCAGUCUCCAUGGUUUGAUGUUCCUUUCCCAAAUGACCAGAGACACUACAUCUUCUCAUGGGCUGUGGCUGCGUCUGUCUUCUCUGGGGAAACGAGGAGGCUGUAACCACGCCUCUAGACUCUGCCUACGGGAGUGCUAAUCCUGUAGCUUUGCUAACUGCAGCUCUAAGCAGAUGCAUUGAAGGGAGGUCAGUGAGUGGUAAAACAGUUUUCUUUGAAUGUGGUCAUAUAAUCUAGGAAUUUAACUUUGAGUGUUGUGAAGAACAAAUUUCCAUUCAGUGAGACUUGUUGGAAUAAUAUGAUCUUGUAGUUUAUAGCUCUGUUUACGUCACAUUUGCCUAUAUCAUUUCAUUUGUAUCUUCUAAAAAGGUUUAAUUAUGUGUAUACAUGUAUACCUGUAAGUGGGUACGUGGAUCCAGGGGCAUUGGAUCAUCGUGGGCUGGAGUUACAGAUGGUUGUGAGCCUGACAUCAGUGCUGGGAAUCAAAGACAGGUCUUCUGGAAGAUCAAUACACUCUUAACCACUGAGCUGUCUCUCCGGCCCUCAUUUAUAAUUUUAAUGUCAUUACUGUGAGAUAUAAGAGGCAGGUGCUUCAUUCCUCAUUUUAGAAAAUAGAAGCUAAGACUGGCUUCUGGAAGCCAUACAAGUAGCAGGAUUUAAAUCUAUGAGUUCUCACUUGUGUUAUUUUGUGGCAUAAGUUGACAGAUUACUAGCUUCUGUGAACCUGGAUGCUAAGAAUGUGGGUCAGAGGACAUCUGAGACUUGUGGCCGAGGUUCCCUCACGGACCUGAUGCUCCCACCAAUGUAUUUAAGAAGUGUCUUGACUUAGAGCUUUCUGUUGCCUCUAACUAUAAAUACUUUAUAACUUUAUUAAAUGAUUACAAGUAGAGCGUGGUAUUUGGAGUAACCUAAAUCUGUUCUCAGGCCCCUGUCACUUAUAUUUGGCUCCAGAACAAACUCUGAGGUAAAAACUGUUUUGUGUUGGGAGCAUCCAUCAUCAAGUAGGCAAAUCUGGUUAUGGCCAGGUCCCAUAGACUAUCGCUGACCUAACAAUUCACUGAGUGGUUUUCAUUUUCCCUCUCAGCUCUUCAGGAAGAGAGCAGAGUUGUGCAUCCCUGCAUGUUUUUGCAUUGUCUGUCCAGAUAGAGAGGGAACAAAGCCAGCAUGGAGGUGGAACUGGGAAGAUGACACACAGCCACUGGUCAGCCAGCCUUGUCCCCCAUGGCCUCUUGCUCCCUGGUGCCACAUUCUAGUGCCUUCUCCUUGGGAGGAAGGAGUUCUGUGCAGAGAAGCUAAACAGACUCUCCUCAGUGUCUAUCCUGCACUGUACCAGCCAUCUCUCGAGGAACAUCUAGGCUGACUACUCUUUUGUAAACACAUGGAUUUACUUCUGGGCUCGUCCAUUGGUUGAUGUGUGUGUUUUGACUUCUCUAGCUUCAUAGUACAUCUUAGAGUCAGGUAUGAUAACACCUCUAGCUCUGUGCUUUCCUCUAGGGCUGCUCUGCUCAGGCUCCACUGUGGCUCAGUGAGGUUUUCGCAGCACUUUUCCUGUAUCCAUACAGAAUGUCCCUGGUUACGAUAGGACUUGAUGUUUUUUUUUUUUUGUUUUUUUUUUUGUUUUUUUUUAAAGAUUUAUUUAUUUAUUUAUUUAUUUAUAAUAUGUAACUACACUGAAGCUGUCUUCAGACACCCCAGAAGAAGGAAUCAGAUCUCGUUACGGAUGGUUGUCAGCCACCAUGUGGUUGCUGGGAUUUGAACUCAGAACCUUCAGAAGAGCAGUCAGUGCUCUUAACCACUGAGCCAUCUCACCAGCCCUCCUACCCCCUUUUUUUUUUUAACAUUACUUGCCAAUACUAAUUGGUUUUCUGGAUACAAGUCUAUUAAAUGUAUGUGUUGUGGAUAUUUUUUGUAUGUGGCUUGCCUUUUUCUUUUCUAUUUUCUAUCUACGUGUGGGGCACCAUGGUGUGUGUAUGGUGGUCCUUUGAAACAUCCUGCUACCAGAGGCAGUGUGUGGAGUGGAGGACGAGGUCUGACGAGGUCUGACUGAACCCUGAGCUCCUGAGGGCAGCAGCAUCGCCUUUUUACUGUGCUGAUGUUGCAGAAAGCCUGGCACUGCAGAGACUCCUGUACACUGAGAGACUGCUGCCCUCUCAGGCAGGCACUGCUCUGGCCCACAAAGUCACCCGGGCCUCUAGUUUACCUUACCUGUAGUUCUCCCUGCGCUGCAGCAGAGCGGAGGAGACCUGAGGAGACAAAGCAGUCCAUGAGCGUCACACUAGCAGUUGGCGACUGAGAAAAGUUCCAACUGAGGGGCCUUUCAUGACUGACGGCCACCAUAAUGCACUAGAACACAGCAGGGCAAGGGGUUUCAAACGCAAGUUGUAGAGAAUAGACAGUAGUUCACUGUUUAUUGGAAAAUCAAAUUGUUUGUUUAAAUAGUUGGGGCUUCUUGUGGAAGUUCCCGUAACCUAGUUACUCCAACUUUUCUCUUUCUGGGUCUGCCUGUGUUUCCUGGAACAGUGCAGCCUCACUAGUAGCCAGUGGAGCGUCAUCUACUGUGUGCAGUGAGUGGUCUCGUUAGCAGCCAGUGGAGCGUCAUGCUACUGUGCGCAGUGAGUGCUGUGGGUAGAAGGAGUCUGGGUUUGAGUGUCUCUGUCCGUGGGAGCCAGCAUGGCACAGGGCAUGUCCUAAGAGUCACUCCACUGGGCAGUAUCCGCAUGCCCAGCUGGACAUGGGGCCAUGAAGUGUGUGCAUCGGAACAAACACUUUACAAGAUGGUUGUAAAAGCACUGAGCUGCGUGUCAGGGCUGAUGAGUUGAUUGCCAGGCCCUUUCGCCAUGGCCCACAGGAGCCUCUGAGGUCAGUUAGGUAAACUCCAA